AAACAGAAGUCACACUUGUCACUCCUAAAAGAUUGUUUUUGAAACAAGUCAAUACAACUAUUCAUAUUUAACAUCAAAUAUGAACAUCUUUGUCCCCCCCUCCCCCAACCCCCACUUAAUUUUUUAAUGUGCUACACAUGAGAAAUGCUACGUUUAAUGGGAUUUACAAUGUAUAUAUAUAAAAAGCAUUGUGUGGUUAUGUAAAUUACUUUGUUGUCAAUUGCUGUGCUCUUGCUCUUUGUUUUCUACACCUGUAACAACUACAACUGCUGAGCCAGUUAUAACAAAGGAGUUGAAGUUCACAUCAGUUGGAGAGGCAUUUACAGACAACUUGCUGAACUCAUCAUCUCCAGCGUUUACAGAAAGAUCCUUGAUGACAGUGACAACACUUGAACCUAUCUAUAAGACGACGUUUCCUUCAUACCUCUCAAUGAUAGUGACUGGAUUCCGAAACGGAUCUAUCAUCACUGACAUUAACAUUCGGUUUGCAUCUACAGCAGUGCCUAAUAACACUGACAUUGCAAAUGUUUUGAUUAAUGCAGCUCCAAACAUAACUUUCUUCAACAUUACCACAGUUACUGUCAGUGACCCUGUGCUUUCAACUACAACUGUGAGCACUACAACAUCAAUGAUUACAGAUACAAAUGAAACCACAGCAAAUCUUACAAACACCACACCUGAAACAAAUACAACUACAGGGCUUACAACAGCUUCAACUACACCUGUGAACACUUCAACAUCAAUGCUGACUGCAGCUACAAACGCAACCACAACAAAUCUUACAAACACCACACCUGUAACAAAUACAAAUACUGUGUCUACAACAGCUUCAACUACACCUGUGAACACCACAACAUCAAUGCUGAGUGCAGCUACAAACGCAACGACAACAAAUCUUACAAACACCACACCUGUAACAAAUACAACUACAGGGUUUACAACAGCUUCAACUACACCUGUGAACACUACAACAUCAAUGCUGACUGCAGCUACAAACGCAACCACAACAAAUCUUACAAACACCACACCCGUAACAAAUACAAAUAAUGUGUCUACAACAGCUUCAACUACACCUGUGAACACUACAACAUCAAUGCUGACUGCAGCUACAAACGCAACCACAACAAAUCUUACAAACACCACAGCUGUAACAAAUACAACUACUGUGUCUACAACAGCUUCAACUACACCUGGGACCGCUACAACACCAAUGAUCACUACCCCAACAAAUGCAACCACAGCAAAACUUACAAACACCACACCUGUAACAAAUACAAAUAAUGUGUCCACAACAGCUUCAACUACACCUGUGAACGCUACAACACCAAUGAUCUCUACCCCAACAAAUGCAACCACAGCAAAUCUUACAAACACCACACCUGUAACAAAUACAACUACAAGGCCUACAACAGCUUCAACUACACCUGUGAACACUACACCAUCAAUGCUGACGGCAGCUACCAACGCAACCACAACAAAUCUUACAAACACCACACCUGUAACAAAUACAACUACAGGGCCUACAACAGCUUCAACUACACCUGGGAACGCUACAACACCAAUGAUCUCUACCCCAACAAAUGCAACCACAGCAAAACUUACAAAUACCACACCUGUAACAAAUACAACUACAGGGCCUACAACAGCUUCAACUACACCUGUGAAAACUACAACAUCAAUGCUGACGCCAGCUACCAACGCAACGACAACAAAUCUUACAAGCACCACACCUGUAACAAAUACAACUACUGUGUCUACAACAGCUUCAACUACACCUGUGAAUGCUACAACACCGAUGAUCACUACCCCAACAAAUACAACCACAGCAGAUCUUACAAACACCCCACCUAUAACAAAUACAACUACAAGGCCUACAACACCUUCAACUACAACUGUGAACACUACAACAGCAAUGCUGAUUACACCUACAAAUGCAACAACAACAAAUUUUAUAAACACCACGCCUGCAACAAAUACAAAAACAACAACAACAACAAAGCCAACAACAACGACAGCAGCAGUGGCCGUAGUCCGUGGACCAGUUUUUUUUCUUUCAGCCGUUUUGUUUACACCUUUUGAUGAUGCACUCAUUAAUACAACCAGUCCACAAUUUAAAGCACUUGAGGCACAAGUGGUAAUAAUGUAUGAAUUCAUCUAUAGAGCUCGAUAUGGUUUACUUUUCAGCCGUGUUAUUGUCAUAGCAUUUAGACAAGCUGGGACCAGAACACGAACAUCAAAUACUGAAGCUGAAGUGGAAAUUGUGUUUAACAACACGAUAACACCUGCAGAAAUCCCACAGGCUGCAGAUGUUGCAAAAACCUUAGUCACAGCUGUGUCUAAUCCCAACAACUUCACGUUAACUAUUAAUGCCACAUCUGUCGUAGCAACCCAAGUAAACACUUCAACUACACCUACAAAUGCAACCACAACAAAUCUUACAAUCACCACACCUGAAACAAAUACAACUACAGCUUCAACUACAACUGUGAACCCUACAACCACUACAACUGUAACAACCACUGAGCCAGUCAAAAUACUGGCGGUGAAAUUCAGAUCUGUUAAAGGGAUAUUUACGACUGACUUGCUGACUUCAUCAUCCACAGCAUUUAAACAACGAGCUACACUGAUAAGGACAGCACUUGAACCUUUCUACCAGGCAAGAUUUCCUUCGUUCCGCUUCAUCACCGUGACUGCAUUCAGUAAUGGGUCCAUUGUCAAUGACAUGGACAUUGGAUUUGCAUUGUCACUGGUCCCUAAUGCGAAUGAGAUUGCGCAAGUUUUGAUUGAUGCAGCCAAGAAGACACCCUUUGACAUUGAAACCAGUUCUAUAUUUGUGAACGGCACACUGUCACAUGGAGUGAGCCACAAGAUCAGUCUCCUCACUGCCUCCUGUAUGGUGCUGCUGUCAUGGCUCCUGUCAGGCCAGCAAUAACAUCUGAGUUGAUGCUCUUGUGAAAUAACUUGAGGAAAUGUCUCCUGUGACUGGGUAUGAAAAAUGAUUUUUACAACAGAAAAUCCACGAGGAACUUCUGAUGAAGAGCAAUCAUAAUAUGAUUUAGAAGUAACUAAAGCUAAAACGAACCUUUAUGUAAUCAAUCAGUAUAAACUUGAACAUAAUUUCUGACGAAGGUGUCAUUGGUUGUCAAUUUAUAAUGUAAGAGAUAAUGUCAUAAUGUAAGUUAGACAUAUCAGUGAGACAAAGUUUUUUAUCCAUAAAGCAUCUCCUCAGCUCCUGAAUCUGGCUGUGAAAGAAAUGAAGUGAUACAUAGCAUCACCUCACCUGGCAUCCAGGAAAUAUAAGAUGUGUGAAAAUAUCCUGUCCUAUGAUACCUAUGAUACCUAAUAUCCUAUGAUUACCAGUCACUUUUACCAGUCAAUAUUUAAAUAUAUUUGUUGUAUGUAUCUUAUUCUUGUAUUGUAUGUAUUAUGUUUGUGUUGUAUUGGAUAACUUUGACAAAAAAUCUAAAUCUAAGUGAUUCUGAUAUUUAAAAUGAUUUAUGAAUACUAUUGUUAUAAAAAAUAUCAUUAUUAUCACCUUUUUCCUUCUGAAGCAGAUUCUUUUGAAGUCUAUCUUGAUAAAUUGAAGAAGCUUCAAUUAAAGACUCUUAAUUUUUAAACACACUUUAAUCUGCUAGUCUCAUUUUUUUUUUUAAUCACGAAAAACAAAUAGGAGAUACUGUCAUGGCACUUUUAGGUUUCCAUCAAAGAUUGUUGAUACACAUAAAAUUAAAUGAAAUUCUUAGUUUUGCAUGUUACACUGGAAUUAGAUUAGGGUGAAAUAAGAUUGAAUUCAGUCUAAAUAAAAUGACUUGAUGUCUUACUUUUUAACCAAAAUCAUUUCUUUUCAGCAUAUUCAGUGUUUCAGUGAGGGGGCCUGUUUGUUUCAUAACUGAUGUAAUUAAAUAAUAACUCAUUGGUAA